UACGAAGGAGGCUAGCGUUGUUCGGAAUCACUGGGCGUAAAGCGCACGUAGGCGGAUUUUUAAGUCAGGGGUGAAAUCCCGAGGCUCAACCUCGGAACUGCCUUUGAUACUGGAGAUCUUGAGUCCGGAGGAGGUAAGUGGAACUGCGAGUGUAGAGGUGAAAUUCGUAGAUAUUCGCAAGAACACCAGUGGCGAAGGCGGCUUACUGGUCCGGAACUGACGCUGAGGUGCGAAAGCGUGGGGAGCAAACAGG
rnacentral:rRNA from 1 species